rnacentral:rRNA from 1 species
GACGCUGGCGGCGUGCUUAACACAUGCAAGUCGAACGAUGAAGAGCAGCUUGCUGCUUGGAUUAGUGGCGCACGGGUGAGUAAUAUAUAGGUAAUGUGCCUCUUAGUCUGGGAUAGCCAUUGGAAACGAUGAUUAAUACUGGAUACUCCUUCUAACUCUAAUGUUAGUCGGGAAAGUUUUUCGCUAAGAGAUCAGCCUAUAUCCCAUCAGUUAGUUGGUAAGGUAACGGCUUACCAAGGCAAUGACGGGUAGCGGGUUUGAGAGGAUGAUCCGCCACACUGGUACUGAGACACGGACCAGACUCCUACGGGAGGCAGCAGUGAGGAAUAUUGCACAAUGGGGGAAACCCUGAUGCAGCAACGCCGCGUGGAGGAUGACGCAUUUCGGUGUGUAAACUCCUUUUAUAUGUCAAGAAAAUGACGGUAGCAUAUGAAUAAGCACCGGCUAACUCCGUGCCAGCAGCCGCGGUAAUACGGAGGGUGCAAGCGUUACUCGGAAUCACUGGGCGUAAAGGACGCGUAGGCGGAUUGGAAAGUCAGAUGUGAAAUCCUACAGCUUAACUGUAGAACUGCAUUUGAAACUUCUAAUCUAGAGUAUGGGAGGGGGAGAUGGAAUUAGUGGUGUAGGGGUAAAAUCCGUAGAUAUCACUAGGAAUACCGAAAGCGAAGGCGAUCUCCUGGAACAUUACUGACGCUAAGGCGUGAAAGCGUGGGGAGCAAACAGGAUUAGAUACCCUGGUAGUCCACGCCCUAAACGAUGAACACUAGUCGUCGGGAUGCUUGUCAUCUCGGUGAUGCACUUAACAGAUUAAGUGUUCCGCCUGGGGAGUACGGUCGC